rnacentral:rRNA from 1 species
CAUGCAAGUCGAGCGGGGAAGGUUGCUUCGGUAACUAACCUAGCGGCGGACGGGUGAGUAAUGCUUAGGAAUCUGCCUAUUAGUGGGGGACAACAUUCCGAAAGGAAUGCUAAUACCGCAUACGCCCUACGGGGGAAAGCAGGGGAUCUUCGGACCUUGCGCUAAUAGAUGAGCCUAAGUCGGAUUAGCUAGUUGGUGGGGUAAAGGCCUACCAAGGCGACGAUCUGUAGCGGGUCUGAGAGGAUGAUCCGCCACACUGGGACUGAGACACGGCCCAGACUCCUACGGGAGGCAGCAGUGGGGAAUAUUGGACAAUGGGCGGAAGCCUGAUCCAGCCAUGCCGCGUGUGUGAAGAAGGCCUUUUGGUUGUAAAGCACUUUAAGCGAGGAGGAGGCUCCCUUAGUUAAUACCUAAAGAGAGUGGACGUUACUCGCAGAAUAAGCACCGGCUAACUCUGUGCCAGCAGCCGCGGUAAUACAGAGGGUGCGAGCGUUAGUCGGAUUUACAGGGCGUAAAGCGUGCGUAGGCGGCUUUUUAAGUCGGAUGUGAAAUCCCUGAGCUUAACUUAGGAAUUGCAUUCGAUACUGGAAAGCUAGAGUAUGGGAGAGGAUGGUAGAAUUCCAGGUGUAGCGGUGAAAUGCGUAGAGAUCUGGAGGAAUACCGAUGGCGAAGGCAGCCAUCUGGCCUAAUACUGACGCUGAG